rnacentral:rRNA from 1 species
GACGAACGCUGGAGGCGUGCUUAACACAUGCAAGUCGAACGAUGAAAUGGAGCUUGCUCCAUGGAUUAGUGGCGAACGGGUGAGUAACACGUGAAUAACCUGCCCUUAAUUUUGGAAUAACCCAGGGAAACCUGGGCUAAUACCGGAUAAGUAAACCUGUGGCAUCACAUGGUUUUGGAAAGUUUUUCGAUUAAGGAUGGAUUCGCGGCCUAUCAGCUUGUUGGUGAGGUAAUGGCUCACCAAGGCGACGACGGGUAGCCGGCCUGAGAGGGUGAACGGCCACACUGGGACUGAGACGCGGCCCAGACUCCUACGGGAGGCAGCAGUGGGGAAUAUUGCGCAAUGGACGAAAGUCUGACUCAGCGACGCCUCGUGAGGGACGAAGGUCUGCGGAUUGUAAACCUCUUUCAGCAGGGACGAAGCGAAAGUGACGGUACCUGCAGAAGAAGCACCGGCUAACUAUGUGCCAGCCGCCGCAGUAA